GAUGAACGCUAGCGAUAGGCCUAACACAUGCAAGUCGAGGGGCAUCACGGAGUAGCAAUACUUUGGUGGCGACCGGCGCACGGGUGAGUAACGCGUAUGCAAUCUACCUACAACAGGGGGAUAACCCGGAGAACUCCGGACUAAUACCGCAUAACAAAGGGGUCCCGCAUGGGAAUCUUUGUUAAAGAUUUAUCGGUUGGAGAUGAGCAUGCGUUCAAUUAGGUAGUUGGUGAGGUAUCGGCCCACCAAGCCUGCGAUGGAUAGGGGAACUGAGAGGUUUGUCCCCCACACUGGAACUGAGACACGGACCAGACUCCUACGGGAGGCAGCAGUGAGGAAUAUUGGUCAAUGGGCGAGAGCCUGAACCAGCCAAAUCGCGUGAAGGAAGACUGCCUUAUGGGUUGUAAACUUCUUUUGUACAGGAAUAAAAAGAGGGACGUGUCCUUCAUUGCAUGUACUGUACGAAUAAGCAUCGGCUAACUCCGUGCCAGCAGCCGCAGUAA
rnacentral:rRNA from 1 species